rnacentral:rRNA from 1 species
UUAUUAGGUAUAAAGGGUGCGUAGGCGGACCUGUAAGUCAGCGGUGAAAUACUACGGCUUAACCGUAGAACUGCCGUUGAUACUGCGGGUCUUGAGUACAGUUGAGGUAGGCGGAAUGUGUGGUGUAGCGGUGAAAUGCUUAGAUAUCACACAGAACACCGAUUGCGAAGGCAGCUUACUAAGUUGUAACUGACGCUGAUGCACGAAAGCAUGGGGAGCAAACAGGAUUAGAUACCCUGGUAGUCCAUGCCGUAAACGAUGAUCACUCGCUGUACGUCCAUUAGGAUGUGUGGCUGAGCUAACGCAUUAAGUGAUCCACCUGGGGAGUACGGCGGCAACGCUGAAACUCAAAGGAAUUGACGGGGGCCCGCACAAGCGGAGGAACAUGUGGUUUAAUUCGAUGAUACGCGAGGAACCUUACCUGGGUUUAAAUGCAGGACGCAAGUCACGUGAAAGCGAGACCCUCCUUCGGGACGGACUGCAAGGUGCUGCAUGGUUGUCGUCAGCUCGUGCCGUGAGGUGUCGGGUUAAGUCCCAUAACGAGCGCAACCCUCAUCGUUAGUUACCAGCGGGUCAAGCCGGGGACUCUAACGAGACUGCCACCGUAAGGUGAGAGGAAGGUGGGGAUGACGUCAAAUCAGCACGGCCCUUAUAUCCAGGGCUACACACGUGUUACAAUGGCCAGUACAAAGGGCAGCUACCAGGUGACUGGAUGCUAAUCUCAAAAACUGGUCUCAGUUCGGAUCGAAGUCUGCAACUCGACUUCGUGAAGUUGGAUUCGCUAGUAAUCGCGCAUCAGCAAUGGCGCGGUGAAUACGUUCC